rnacentral:rRNA from 1 species
GUACACUCCUGCGGGAGGCAGCAGUGGGGAAUUUUGGACAAUGGGCGAAAGCCUGAUCCAGCAAUGCCGCGUGAGUGAAGAAGGCCUUCGGGUUGUAAAGCUCUUUUGUCAGGGAAGAAACGGUGAAAGCUAAUAUCUUUUGCUAAUGACGGUACCUGAAGAAUAAGCACCGGCUAACUACGUGCCAGCAGCCGCGGUAAUACGUAGGGUGCAAGCGUUAAUCGGAAUUACUGGGCGUAAAGCGUGCGCAGGCGGUUUUGUAAGUCUGAUGUGAAAUCCCCGGGCUCAACCUGGGAAUUGCAUUGGAGACUGCAAGGCUAGAAUCUGGCAGAGGGGGGUAGAAUUCCACGUGUAGCAGUGAAAUGCGUAGAUAUGUGGAGGAACACCGAUGGCGAAGGCAGCCCCCUGGACCUGUACUGACGCUCAUGCACGAAAGCGUGGGGAGCAAACAGGAUUAGAAACCAUAGUAGUCCCAUG